AAAAAAAAAAAAAAAAAAAAAAAAGGAAAAGAAAAGAAAAAAAAACCACAACCACCGAAAUGAGGGUGGCGGGGCUGCCACCCUCCACCAGCCCGGAUGCGCUCCGACGGGACAGCACGCCUGCCGACACGCUGCCACGCACAUGCUGCCAGCCUGUCAUGUCCGUGCGGGGGGGAAAUGGAAUUAGGGCAAAAAAUAAAACACCCCAAAGGCAGAGCAAAGAAGGCCCGGGACCCCCAAUUCUGCCCUGAGCCCUCACAGCAUAGGCUGUUGUAGUACAUGGGUGGGUGCAUGCUCCAUUCAUGUUCCUUGUGGACCAGGCAGACGGGGCCAUGGCGUGGAGGUCACUGGUGAAAUGUUGUCUGGCUGAGCUGGGGGUGUGCAGCCCACCCUCACGCCCUGCUGCAGGAGUGCAGCCGUGUCCCAAAGCGCCCUGUGCCACCACGCAGCGAGACGAGGCCUGCUGCCACCAGCACGGUCACCUGCACGCUCUGGGCGUUGUUACAGGCAGGGGCAGAGGCUGGCAACGUGCCUGGAUAUCUUUCCUUGGGUUUUGGAUUCUUAUGAAGGAAAUCCUAAACCUCACAACGGCUGUGCACUUAUGAUCAAGUCAAGGACAGCAAUUCCAUGUGCACUUCAAAAAAAAACAACCCACACCACCACCAAAAAAAAUAAACAAUGCGUACUCUGAGUACAUUCUCAGCUGUGUUGGAACAGACAGUCAGCUCUCUACUGGAGAAAAUACCAGGUUCUUGAUCGUAAGUUUUUUGAGUAGGUUGUUAACAAAAGGAAAACAAAACCCAAAGGUCUGCUAUGUCCUCUUAAACAGCCAUGAUCUGCUUGUACUUUGACUACAUGCCAUUCAAAGCAGUAGUGUCUAAGUGAAGCACCCUUUAUAAUGCAACAAUACUAGUUCCUGCAUGAGGAACCUCGCAAACUUGCACAGGAUGGCUUGCAGAACAAUGGGGCUCUCAGGAGGCACCUUAGGAACAGGAAGCUAAUUUCGCAGUUUGUUUAGAGACCUGAUUCAGGAAGAGCCUACCUCAGUCUCAGGCAGUUACUUGCUCUGAAUGGGUACAGGCAGGUUCUGAAUCAGGUGUAUUGUGUCACUACUGGUGUAAAGGAAAAUUACCAAAACGAUAAUGAGAAAGGGAAAUUUUUUUUGCACCUUCACGCCAAGCAGAAAGCUCUUCAAAUGUCAUUCUGUGCCACAGACCUUCCUUGGAAGAUAGGUGACUCUUUGACUUGAAUUAAGGCUCCUAUGUUUCAAACUUUUUUUUUUUUUUUUUUUGAGGAAAAGCAAACAAACAAAAAACUAGACAUGAAAGAAGUGAUGCAAGCUCAGCUAGUAAAACAGCAAAGUUUCAAAGAGGAGCAUAAAUAUAAAAGAUAGGUGUUAAAAUUUAAACACUGGCAUAGAAAAAACAAUAAAAGCUAUGAAGAUAUGUGGAAAAAAAAUUACUUUGUGUGAAAAACUGUAAGGUGUGGGAAGGCAGAGGGUACCCAUGGAUCUUCCUAUAUGUAGAGAGAGCAGCCCUGCUACUCCAUGUAACAGCCAUUGAUUCUGCAAAUGUGAUUCUUCUUCUUAAGCUCAAUUUGUGAUUAUGAGCAUGGCUUUGCUCUACUGCGCUGGUCUUGGUUGAAGGAUACGGGGAAUGGAUUUCACAUACACCUCCCUCAUGCUUAGUCUGUUUAUUUAAGUAUGAAGCUCUCUGGUAAGAAAGCAAGCAUUGAACAAGGAAGGUAAAAAUCAAGCUCUUUAAUCCUGUUAUGUUGAGUAACGUCAAACAUGGGCCUAGUCUUGAUAGUAAGGCUUAAAGUAGGCUGAGAUUGAAGGCCAGGAGAGCUUUGGACCACACAGGAACAUGCCAUAUCUAAAAUCACACUUGUGUCAACAACUGGAUUAGGUUAUUUUACACUGCUGCCACUGAGAGCUCUCCAAAAACAGGAGCCACCUGCAGUGAGAGGGUGUCUUGGGUCUGCCCCACUCAUGCUAGUACAGGGGGAUUGCUGAUCCCUGUAGGGAAGAAAGAGGUCUUCAAAAUGUAGAGGUCUCAGAGACAACAGCAUAACAGAUGGAAGAGGAAAUCUCAGCACACAGCCAAUGCCGUGAAACGAAGGAUCCUCUCUGGGAAUUGGUUAGUAGUGCCAAUGUUUAAUAUUUGUCAUAACAACCACUGACUGUUUUGUUUUUUGUUCUAACAAUGUGAAUUAUGCAUUAAACAUUAAUACAAGCGAGUGUACUUUUCUUUUGAUCUUCAAGCGUAAUCAUUUCUAAUGAGAGUUUAUACACGAGCAUUGAAACAAAUCCCUGAGUCAUGUGAAUUUACAUUGGUUUUACUCUGUGGGAAAGAUAUCCCACAUGGGUUACUCAUGUCUGUAAAAUAUAACAUACUUAUAAAUCA